UACGGAGGAUGCGAGCGUUAUCCGGAUUCAUUGGGUUUAAAGGGUGCGUAGGCGGCUUUUUAAGUCAGUGGUGAAAUCCUGUCGCUUAACGAUAGAAUUGCCAUUGAUACUGAUAAGCUUGAGUACAGUUGAGGUAAGCGGAAUGUGUAGUGUAGCGGUGAAAUGCUUAGAUAUUACACAGAACACCGAUUGCGAAGGCAGCUUACUAAACUGUUACUGACGCUGAUGCACGAAAGCGUGGGGAGCGAACAGG
rnacentral:rRNA from 1 species